UUCCGUAGCGGCUGUAAUGCA
ensembl:piRNA 21ur-3751 ncRNA